UUUUUUUCUUCUCCUUUUCUUGACAGUGUU
rnacentral:sRNA from 1 species